GCCUCAGGCAAGCAGGAGGCAGUGGCCUCCAUCUGGCUCCCACUCUCCCCUCUGUGUGACCUCUGGGGCUGCCUGACUUUUCUCCCCUUCACUCCCUUUUUGGAGCCCUCAUGAUCCCAGGAUAUCAGGGUUGGGAGGAACCCACAGUGGCUGCACAGCCUGAACCAGGUGUGAAAGACCCCCGCUCGCCCCCGGUUCCCGGUGCCCAGACCUUCCCCCCAAACCGGCCCUAGCUUCCCUCCCCAUCAUCACUUCCUCCUUCCCUGCUUGUAGCGUCGAAUGAAAGCCCUGCUUUCUCUCCUCUGCUCCCCCUCCUUGCUGCCCUCCCUCCCUGCCCUGUUCCCGCCUUUUCAGAAUCCCAGGAUAGCUCCGAGGCUCUUCUGUCCAGUCCACACCUGGACAAAACUCUGGCAGAAAUGACAGAGCCAGUCACCUGGUCAGCAUUAAGUGCCUCCUGCGGAUGUGCCAGGCACCGUGCCAGGCUUGGGGAUAUCCUGUGUCCAUCAAGAACGAUGUUAUUAAGCACCUACUAAGUGUCAGGUGCCAUGCCAGGCUUGGGAAUAUCAUGUGUCCAGUCAAGAAGUAUUUAUCAUUAACACCUACUAAGUGCCAGGUGCUGUGCCAAACUUAGGAAUAUCAUGAGUCCAUUCAAGAAGCAUUUGUCAUUAAACACCUACUAUGUGCCAGGCAUACAGGGAGACCUCAACCUUGCACUCUCAGAAUUAGAUAAAUCAAACCACAAAAUAAGAAAGAAGUCAAAGAGGUAAAUAGAAUACUAGAAAAGUUAGGUAGGAUAGAUGUUUGGAAAAAACUGAAUGGAGACAGAAAGGAGCACACUUUCUUCUCAGCAAUUCAUGGAAUCUCUACAAAAAUUGACCAUAUAUUAGGACAUAAAAACCUCAAACUCAAAUGCUGUAAGGCAGAAAUAGUAAAUGCAUCCUUUUCAGACCACGAUGCAAUGAAAAUGACAUUCAAUAAAAAGCCAGGGGAAAAUGACCAAAAAUAAUGGGAAACUAAAUAAUCGCAUGUUAAAGAAUUAUUGGGUGAAACAGCAAAUCAUACACAUGAUAACUUCACCCAAGAAAAUGACAAUAAUGAGACAUCAUACCAAAAUGUGUGGGAUGCAACCAAAGCAGUAAUAAGGUGAAAUUUUAAAUCUCUAGAGGCCAACUCGCAUAAAAAAGAGAAAAAGAAGGUCAAUAAAUUGAGCUUGCAACUAAAAAUGCUAGGAAAGGAACAAAUUAAAAACCUCCAGUCAAACACUAAACUUGAAAUUCUAAAAAUAAAAGGAGAGAUUAAUAAGAUUAAAAGUAAAAAAAAAACCUAUUGAAUUAAUUAAUAAAACUAAGAAUUGGUUCUAUGAAAAAAACAGGAAAAUAGAGAAACCCUUUGUAAAUCUGAUGAAAAAAGGAAAAGAGAAAAAUCAAAUUGUUAGUCUUAAAACAUGAAAAGGGAGAACUCGCCACUAAUGAAGAGGAAAUUAGGGCAAUAAUUAGGAAUCACAUUGCCCAAUGUUAUGCCAAUAAAUUCGAUAACUUAAAUGAAAUGAAAGAAUACCUUCAAAAACAUACCUUGCCCAGAAGAACAAAGGAAGAAGUAAAUUGGUGAAACAGCCGCAUCUCAGAAAAAGAAAUGGAACAAGCUAUUAAUAAGCUCCCUAAGAAAAAAUCCUCAGGACCAGAUGGAUUUAGAAGUGAAUUAUAUCAAACAUUUAAAGAAAAAUUAACUCCAAUGCUCUAUGAACUAUUUGAAAAAAUAGGGAUUGAAGGAGUCCUACCAAAUUCCUUUUAGGACACAGACAUGGCACUGAUACAUAAACCAGGUAGGUUGAAAACAGUGAAAGAAAAUGAUAGACCAAUCUCCCUAAUGACUAUUAAAGCUAAAAUCUUAAAUAAGAUAUUAGCAAAAAGAUAAGAGAAAAUCAUCCCCGGAAUAAUACACUAUGAGCAAGUAGGAUGCAUAGCAGGGAUACAGGGCUGUUUCAAUAUUAGGAAAACUAUUAGCAUCAUUGACUAUAUCAGUAACCAGAUUUCUUAUGGGCCAGAACUUGAAACACUGGAAUCCAUAGAAACAAUGCUUUUGUACUUGAGUAAACACCUUUAAGAGUUGACACAUCAGCCAGAACUUCAAACAAUGUGCUAACUCACUGAAAUUGAUAGAAACAAUGCUUAUGUCCUUGAGUUCACACUUUUAAGAGUUCACACAUCAGGGAGCUUCACAGGUCAGGAAGGCACAAUCCCACCCUCGGAGGAGGAGUCAACCUUUGAGUUCACACCUUGAAGAGAUCAUAUAUGAGGAGCCCCCCGCAAGCCAACUAGACAAUUUUGGGAGAUUGAGAAGCCAGGAUUCGGAAAGAGAGCAAUAGGCUGAAGCUGGCAGAGGCAAAAGACUAGCAACGAGAGCUUUUGGAACCCUGGGGGGAGAGAGGCCUCUGAGAAAACCAAAGAGACAACUUUGGGAGAAGAACUUUUAACAGCUGCCUGCUUUCCAGGGGAUUGUUACUCAUCAGCUGAACCAAGGCUGCCUCCAGAAGCCUCCAAGAAUCCCGCUCCCAGAGGACAGUAUAAUUUGGAGAAAAGAUUAUUAUAGGAGCUGUGUGCUUUCUUUGAAAGAAGAUGCUUCCACUAAAUGUUUUUGGCAGGGACAGGUGUUUCCAAAGAGAUGA
rnacentral:lncRNA from 1 species